rfam:Bacillus sp. FJAT-22058 super1, whole genome shotgun sequence.
AAUUUAUUUAAAAAAUAUCCUUGUAUAAUAUCAGUGACAAUGGUCUGAUAGUUUCUACCUGGCAGCCGUAAUGCCGGACUACAAGGAAGUAUGAAAAUAGA